GUGGAUUAGAUACCCCAGUAGUCCACGCCCUAAACGAUGUCAACUAGGUGUUGGAAGGGUUAAACCUUUUAGUGCCGUAGCUAACGCGUGAAGUUGACCGCCUGGGGAGUACGGCCGCAAGGCUAAAACUCAAAGGAAUUGACGGGGACCCGCACAAGCGGUGGAUGAUGUGGAUUAAUUCGAUGCAACGCGAAAAACCUUACCUACCCUUGACAUGUCAGGAAUCCCGGAGAGAUUUGGGAGUGCUCGAAAGAGAACCUGAACACAGGUGCUGCACGGCCGUCGUCAACU
rnacentral:rRNA from 1 species